UACAACCUCACCUCUGACUUGCAAAAUACUCCUGAUUUAGUCCGACUCACCAUGAAUAAGAAUACCUGUAGUCUACGUGGAAAGAGCAAGAGUGUUUCAGAAGAAGCUCUGCAUCACAGCACUGAGGAUGAAGAGUCUUCCCAGGGAAUGGAGCCCUAUCUCGUGCGGAGAUUAUCGUCCCGUAACAUUCAGCUUCCUCCUCUGGCUUUCAGGCAGUUAGAACAGGCAGACUGGGAUAAAAAGAAUGAUACCGAGACUAUCCCAAGGCCCACGACUCUUCCACUAAGGAUACCUCCUCUGAUUGCCAUUACAGCUGCUGAGUCCAGCAGCCAGUCUUACUCCUUGUGUGGAGGAAGCUUACUCAUCGGCGAAGACAAAACCAGUGGAAGGUUUUAAGUUGGGAAACACGAUUUCUGAACCUGAUGUGAACUGGAAGCACGAUACAGGCAAUAAGGGGUGGCGGGAAGGAGAGUUAAAGGAGUUAGAACCCAUUUUUAACCCACCUCAAAGUUCUCGGCGAACAGAGGCGUGAGCAACUUUUGACACCUGCCAUCGCCCGGCAGUGAGUCCCUCUGGAGGGAGUCCUGUCCGGCCAGCAGCCACAGCCUCAGGGAGGGAGAGGUACAUCUCAGGAGAGGAGGGCUGCAGCAUCAGCGGCACCGAGCCCCUCCGCAUUCGCUCCGGGUUCCAUUCCCACCCUCGCGCCCUGCCGGCAUCCUCGUCUCGCCUUUCUCCCACCCUGCGCACCCCAGAGCUCUCCGCUCCGUGACCACAGCCCCCAGGCGGGUCCGCUCUCCCCGCCCGCGCUCCAGCCUGGCGUUAAAUAUUUCCGAGCGGGACGCCGG
rnacentral:lncRNA from 12 species